GACAGAGGUGCCGAGCGUUAGGCGGAAUCACUGGGCUUAAAGCGUGUGUAGGCGGGCGGGCAAGUACCUUGGGAAAUCCCACGGCUCAACCGUGGAACGGCUGGGUAUACUGCCUGUCUUGAGCCAACUAGGGGCGAGCGGAACAGACGGUGGAGCGGUGAAAUGCGUAGAUAUCGCCUGGAACGCCAAAGGUGAAAACAGCUCGCUGGGGUUGUGCUGACGCUGAGACACGAAAGCCAGGGGAGCGAACGGG
rnacentral:rRNA from 1 species